UUACCCUUAAAAAAUUAAUACUACUGUAUGCACAUCGGAAAGGCAUAUUUUUUUUUUGAAUAAAAUGUUGUGACGUGGUAAUCACGUCGCAAUUUUAGAAGUAAAAUAAAAAAGUAAAAGAAGUCAGACGUGUACAGGUCACAAUAUAAAUACUUGUCGAUCUUAUUUUUUCCGUGUUAAUUUUUAAGUGUGUUGUAAAUACCUUUUAUUUAUUUAUUUUAUUCGGCUUAUUUUUGGGGUCUUUUUACAUCGAGUUUUUU
rnacentral:lncRNA from 1 species